GACUCCUAUGCCUCAGUAUGAUGUCCACAGCAGCGGCCAGGUUGUCCACAUAACCAUCGGCGGUGACUGUCGGGUGUCUUUCAUCACUAGGUCUGCAGAAAAGAAAGUAGAACACAUCUGCCUAACGAGUGUUGGACCAUGUACAGGAUUUGAGUGAUGGAGCAAGGCCUGAGUACUGAUCGCACGGAACCCAUCUGUGAUACUGACACGGAGAACAAACAUACAGUGUCUGCCUCACAGUCAUCAGGGUCACCAAGUCCUUGUUGGCAUGAGGGCUGAGAGCUUGAUCAGCCUUUCAGAGGGAAAUGAAGUCUGGAGUGACUGAUGACAUCAGCAUCCCUGAGGGAAGAGGGAGGGAGCAAGACAGGGCUUUGCAUGCAAGGAGUUCAUGCUGCACACAUGGGUUAUGGUGCCAUCCCAUUCUCUGUGUGAAUGUCAGGACAAAACACAGCACAACUUAGAAAACUGGAAUUAAAACUUGAUGACCCAAUCAUUGCAGCAGAGUAAAGUACACAGGUUGAUCAGUGUUAGUUUGUGUGUCUGUGUCUGUCUGCAUGUUCCAUGUACACUCAUGAUGAGAUCAGUCCUUCAUAGGGCAA